AGAGUUUGAUCCUGGCUCAGAAUGAACGCUGGCGGCGUGCUUAACACAUGCAAGUCGAACGAUGAAGCCUAGCUUGCUAGGUGGAUUAGUGGCGCACGGGUGAGUAAUAUAUAGGUAACGUGCCUCUUAGUCUGGGAUAGCCAUUGGAAACGAUGAUUAAUACUGGAUACUCCUUCUAACUCUAAUGUUAGUCGGGAAAGUUUUUCGCUAAGAGAUCGGCCUAUUUCCCAUCAGCUUGUUGGUAGUGUAAGAGACUACCAAGGCUAUGACGGGUAGCGGGUUUGAGAGGAUGAUCAGCCACACUGGGACUGAGACACGGCCCAGACUCCUACGGGAGGCAGCAGUGGGGAAUAUUGGACAAUGGGCGAAAGCCUGAUCCAGCAAUACCGCGUGUGUGAAGAAGGCCCGAGGGUUGUAAAGCACUUUCAAUUGGGAGGAAUACCUGCUGAGAUAAUAUCAGGCAGAUUGACAUUACCUUUAGAAGAAGCACCGGCUAACUCCGUGCCAGCAGCCGCGGUAAUACGGAGGGUGCAAGCGUUAAUCGGAAUUACUGGGCGUAAAGCGUACGUAGGCGGUUUGUUAAGUUAGAUGUGAAAGCCCCGGGCUUAACCUGGGAACUGCAUUUAAAACUGGCAAACUAGAGUUAAGUAGAGGAGAGUGGAAUUUCAGGUGUAGCGGUGAAAUGCGUAGAGAUCUGAAGGAACACCAGUGGCGAAGGCGACUCUCUGGACUUAAACUGACGCUGAGGUACGAAAGCGUGGGUAGCAAACGGGAUUAGAUACCCCGGUAGUCCACGCCCUAAACGAUGUUCACUAGUCGUCGGGAUGCUAGUCAUCUCGGUGAUGCACUUAACAGAUUAAGUGAACCGCCUGGGGAGUACGGUCGCAAGAUUAAAACUCAAAGGAAUAGACGGGGACCCGCACAAGUGGUGGAGCAUGUGGUUUAAUUCGAAGAUACGCGAAGAACCUUACCUAGCCUUGACAUUGAUUGAACGGACCAGAGAUGGACCGGUGCCCUUCGGGGAACAUGAAAACAGGUGCUGCACGGCUGUCGUCAGCUCGUGUCGUGAGAUGUUGGGUUAAGUCCCGCAACGAGCGCAACCCUCGUCCUUAGUUGCCAGCAGGUUAAGCUGGGCACUCUAGGGAGACUGCCUUCGUAAGGAGGAGGAAGGUGAGGACGACGUCAAGUCAUCAUGGCCCUUAUGGCUAGGGCUACACACGUGCUACAAUGGGGCGUACAGAGAGUUGCGAUACCGCGAGGUGGAGCUAAUCUCACAAAGCGUCUCUCAGUUCGGAUUGAAGUCUGCAACUCGACUUCAUGAAGCUGGAAUCACUAGUAAUCGUAGAUCAGCAAUGCUACGGUGAAUACGUUCCCGGGUCUUGUACUCACCGCCCGUCACACCAUGGGAGUUGAUUUCACCCGAAAUUGGGAAGCUAACCUUCGGGGGGCUACCACUUACGGUGGAAUUAGCGACUGGGGUGAAGUCGUAACAAGGUAACC
rnacentral:rRNA from 1 species